CCAAAUUUCAUUGGUUGCAUGUGCUCGUCCCUAGCAAUAUUUAUCUAAACACCUGUGCACCUUGUAGGAGGGGGAUCCUUCAAGUUAGCUCUUGGAAGAUUCCCUUCUUCUAAUAUACACUUUUCAAUAUUGAACGUGUUUGUGCCGCAAGGCCAUCAAUCUAAUACAACUUUUAACAACGGAUCUCUUGGCUCUCGCAUCGAUGAAGAACGCAGCGAAACGCGAUAAGUAAUGUGAAUUGCAGAAUUCAGUGAAUCAUCGAAUCUUUGAACGCACCUUGCGCUCCCUGGUAUUCCGGGGAGCACACCUGUUCGAGUGUCGUGAAAUUAUCAAGUUGAAGAUACUUUCCCCAACCCGGAAAAGUCAUCUCAGUUUGGUGUUGGGCUCUGCUGUGUUCUUUAUUGGAACGGCUGGCCUCAAAAGCAUUAGCUGACCCUUCUGAGUGUUGGUUCUACUCAGCGUGAUAAUAAUCUGACCGCUGAGGACAUCUCUUCUAAGAUGGCCAAUUCUUGUUUGGGUUGCUUCGAAUUUGGCUUAUGGACUUUUGCUAGUCUGUUUCACUUCUAAUUUUGACCUCGAAUCAGGUGGGACUACCCGCUGAACUUAAGCAUAUCAAU
rnacentral:rRNA from 1 species